GCUGUUAAUCGAUGGCUUUCAAAAUCAGAGUCCGGGGUCCAUGGGCUUUCUAACACCCAAAAGAGAAAUGAAAUCAUUUCUUUCUUUUGUAAGCUGAAAGCUUGCACAUCUGAGGACGACUUUAAAGCCACAUCAGCCGAGUUCUGCCAGACAUUUAAGCAAUACCCUUUGGUGUGCCAGUAUUUUCAGAAGCACUGGGAAGGCAUUGGCCACAUGUGGUGUGACUACGGCCGUCGGUUCAGUCACGCUCGUUCUGAAACAAACAAUGUGAUUGAAAGAUUUUUCCACCGCCUGAAAUACCAGUUUUUAUCUGGCUACAAGAAUAGGCGUCUGGAUGAUCUGAUUGAAGUGCUCCUAGGGAAGGCCGACGACUACUUCUCAGUCAUAAAAACCCUGCAAGAUGUGGGCCGCAUGAAAAACAGGUUUGCUGACACCUUGUCUCAAGUUUCAGACUCUGCUUCAAGACUGAUGGAAAGUGGUUGGGCUCUUAAAAUUACAGUCAAGAACAGCCAUGGAGUUAAUGCAUAUCAAGUCCCAUCUGAGUCAAGAGAAGACAUGGUGUAUGAUGUCUGCCAUGUUGAGUCCUACUGCAACUGUACAUAUGGCUUACGAGGACUUCUUUGCAAGCAUCU
ensembl:lncRNA